rnacentral:rRNA from 1 species
UGCCAGCCGCCGCGGUAAGACGGAGGGUGCAAGCGUUGUUCGGAAUCAUUGGGCGUAAAGAGUGCGUAGGCGGCAUAGCAAGUCGGGUGUGAAAGCCCAGGGCUCAACCCUGGAACUGCGCCCGAAACUGCUAAGCUUGAGUCCGGGAGAGGGUGGCGGAAUUGUCGGUGUAGAGGUGAAAUUCGUAGAUAUCGGCAAGAACAUCUGUGGCGAAGGCGGCCACCUGGAUCGAGACUGACGCUGAGGCACGAAAGCGUGGGGAGCAAACAGGAUUAGAUA